rnacentral:rRNA from 1 species
AACGAACGCUGGCGGCAGGCCUAACACAUGCAAGUCGAACGCUCCAGCAAUGGAGAGUGGCAGACGGGUGAGUAACACGUGGGAACCUUCCCUUUGGUUCGGAAUCGCCCAGGGAAACUUUGGGUAAUACCGGAUAAGCCCUUACGGGGAAAGAUUUAUCGCCUAAGGAUGGGCCCGCGUCGGCUUAGCUAGUUGGUGGGGUAACGGCCUACCAAGGCGACGAUCCGUAGCUGGUCUGAGAGGCUGACCAGCCACACUGGGACUGAGACACGCCACAGACUCCUACGGGAGGCAGCAGUGGGGAAUAUUGGACAAUGGGCGCAAGCCUGAUCCAGCCAUGCCGCGUGAGUGACGAAGGUCUUCGGAUUGUAAAACUCUUUUGGCGGGGACGAUAAUGACGGUACCCGCAGAAUAAGCCCCGGCUAACUUCGUGCCAGCCGCCGCGGUAACAC